AUCACCUGGGUACCUUGUUAAAAAGUAGAUUCUAAUUUAAUAGUUCUAGGGUGGGCCUGAGAUUCUGUAUUUCUAUGAAGCUCCCAUGUGAUGCCAA
rnacentral:pre_miRNA from 1 species